UGCCCCAUGGCUGAGUUGGUUACAGCGUCCGACUGUUAUUCAUUGGCAUCGGAAGGUCGUGAGUUCGAGCCUCACUGGGGCAG
rfam:Rhizopogon vinicolor AM-OR11-026 unplaced genomic scaffold K503scaffold_15, whole genome shotgun sequence.